UUGGAUCUUUUUUUGCUGUGCGCAGGCUUUCUUUAGUUGCGAAUGCCAAUUGGCUUUUGAGUGGAUAAUUGUUGCAGUGAGAGCAGUGAGGCUGGAAACAACUAUUGCCUGUUUGACUUGCUUAAAGCACCACCAUGAAAAGAAAUACCUGUGAUUUGCUUUCUCGGAGCAAAAGUAAGCAACGAAUUCUAUCACAUCGAUAGACUCGGAAACUAACCCUAGCCAAGAAUCCCUGUGUUCUUUGUGAGGAAAAAGGUGUUGGAUGGUAAUUGAAUGUUUCAGUUAAAAAAAAUUGAGCUAAUUAAUUUGACUUUUUUUUUUGCCUAAAUAUUGUAUAAACCUAUGAUAAAACUGAAUAAUA